CCCCCACAACAUUCAAAUCAAUCACAUAGCAUUUCUCCACCAACUUUUUUCCAAAGUUAUCUAAAAGAAAUUCGUGUUAAAAAACUGGCCAUCAACUACCAAGGUGAGACUUCAACCCCUCAAAAACAAAGGAAAAAAUCAGCGGCAGCUAAUAAGAGGCUCAAAGUAAACUAGAUUAGAGCACAAAUACUAGGCGCCAAGCAUCAUAAAGAUUCUAAACGGAUAGCCAAAGAGAACUUCUAGAGUAUGCAAUAUAGCUCCAUUGAAAUGCUUGUGGAUGGACCAAUCAAAAUCACAAUGCCACUAUUUCAAUUCCAAUCAUGUAAACCAUUACUUCAUCUGCCACAAGCACUUCCAUUAACCAAGAUCAUCGAGAACCAUUCACAAAAAAUAAGAAAAAACUAGUAAGUUCAGCCUUCUUAAACCACUGCGUUGCAAGGCAAUCAAACCUCAUCCCAACUAUGUUUGAAUGAUGCAGUUCUACAGGUUCAACCUACAAAUCAAUAAAACAGAUUUCAGAAAAUUUUGUGAAUCAAGUUUCAGUCAAGAACACGAAAUAAUGCAUCUAAGCUAUCUGCUCUAAUCCACUAUUAAGGGGAAACCAAGUUGAAAUGGAAGUA
rnacentral:lncRNA from 1 species